CUAUAAAUAAUAUUAAUUAGAAUUUAUGGAAUGCACAAUUCAUGGAAUUCACCAGAACACAAGAAACCUUUGAGACAGUGUUGCAGUAUUCACUUCUACAGACAAGGACGACCCAUCCUAUUUCCCCUGCAAAGACAGCUGUCCUUCCCUACGAAGGAUUUUAAAUAAUUCUCACUAUGCUGCUCGCAGCAUCAUCCCCAAAGAAAUAUUAAUUUACAAAAUAACCCAAUAUCCAUAUAAUUCUUUUGACAAAUAAAAAUCUUAAAUUAAAAAGCAUGAUUCUCUCCCUCUCCC
rnacentral:lncRNA from 1 species